UUGAAGUUGAAAAACAGGGCAUUACGGUGUUUACAAGCCUUUCUGAACACCGUAAGCAGAUGCGGAGAUCAGAUCGAUGUUACCAUUUUCAUCAAAGGUGGAUCUCCAUGUACCUGAUUGGAUGCUGUGGAUCACUCACCUUGGAUUAAAUUAUAGGCUCAGCCCAUGACCAGGAAUGACAGGCAGGGGUGGGCCAGCUCAAUAGUUUGCACUCCAGCAUUUGUUGAACUGUUGAGCUGUUGAGUAAGCAUCUUUCACAUCCACUCUAAAAAAGGAACUUUCUGUAAAGCUGUAAAGGCAGAAAUGUACAUUUUCAGAAAGGAGCAGGCCUAUUUUACAUGAGAAUGACCAGGAGGUUUCUCGUUAUUUUCU